GACGAACGCUGGCGGCGUGCUUAACACAUGCAAGUCGAGCGGUAAGGCUCCUUCGGGAGUACACGAGCGGCGAACGGGUGAGUAACACGUGAGCAACCUGCCCUUCUCAUCGGAAUAAGCGUUGGAAACGACGUCUAAUGCCGUACAUGACAACGGAUCGCAUGAUCUGUUGUGGAAAGCUCCGGCGGAGAAGGAUGGGCUCCCGGCCUAUCAGCUUGGUGGUGGGGUAGCGGCCCACCAAGGCGACGACGGGUAGCCGGCCUGCGAGGGCGACCGGCCACACUGGGACUGAGACACGGCCCAGACUCCUACGGGAGGCAGCAGUGGGGAAGAUUGGACAAUGGGCGCAAGCCUGAUCCAGCAACGCCGCGUGAGGGAUGACGGCCUUCGGGUUGUAAACCUCUUUCAGCAGGGACGAAGCGAAAGUGACGGUACCUGCAGAAGAAGGACCGGCCAACUACGUGCCAGCCGCCGCGGUAAUAC
rnacentral:rRNA from 1 species